rnacentral:ncRNA from 2 species
GGGUGCUGCGCCGGAUCUUCGGCCAGCAGGGCACAUGCGUUGGUCGGGCCGCCACG